rnacentral:lncRNA from 1 species
CUUGGCCUACAUCCAGCUGCAGGUCCUUUGCCGGCGCCUUCUCUCUCGCGUCUGAACGCAGCGCGGCCGCGCUCGGUCCGGCCCGCGGUUCUGUUCCGUUCGCCGCACGUGCGCCCGAUCCCCUCCCGGGUCCCCUCUUCCGGCCUGGCUCCGACCCGCGCAUCUGCAUACCCACUGCGGGCGCCCGGGUCUGCUGGCGUCGCUGGGGAGGCCGGGACUCGGUGUCAGGCCUCGGAGGCCACUCGGGUUCCCCCCGAGCCUGGGGACCUGUCCCAGCUCGCACACCGAGCAGCUCCAGUUCGCGGUUGGUUGGGGCCGAAGCGCGCGGGAGCCGAGCGCCCGGUCGGCAGAACUCGAGACUCGCACAGACCCCCCAUCCUCCUGCCCAGACACCUGUUCAUGCUCCCGGGAACCCCCUCCUCAUCCCCAACACACACAUCCGGACCCAGUUUCCAAGCCAGCAGCCCGGACCCCCAUCCAGGUCAGACCCACACCCCCUGCGGGGUGCCCCCCAACACCUACCCCUCUGGACCUCUGGCCCCCUCCCGCGGUCCCCAGGGCUGCCGCUCCCUUGUUCCAGCGGGGUGAGGACUGCCAUCCCAGAUGCUUGCCUGUCCCUGCCUCUCUGCCCAGCACUGCCCUGCUCACGCCAGGCCUCUUGUCCCCGACCUGUGGCCGACUGUCCUCCCUGCCUCAGCCUUUGCCAGUCAAGACUUCUGGCCUCAAUGGGGGGUGAGGGGGCUCCACUUCACAAAGACCUGGGCCUGUGUUUGUGCUAUGUGACCUCGGCUGUGUGACACAGCCUCUCUGAGCCCCGUGGUGUCAUCAUCUGGGGAAUGGAAGAUAACCAGGCCAUCAGGUGUCGGGGGUGGGUACCUGGAGGGACCUCUGUCUCCGUGCUUCCCCAUCCAAAGGGCCUGAGUCAGGGCCGGGGAGGGUUGGAGCAGAUAGAAUGGGGAAUGGAGAAGCCUUUGCACUGGCUGUUCCUCCUGCCUGGGACGCCCUUCCUGCGAGUCCACGCGGCCCUUCCCCCCUCCCUUGGGUCUUUAGUGAAAGGUUCACCCCACAUGACCCAUUCUCCUCCCCCUGCCUGUCCCCCUCGCCAGCUCUCUCUCUUCAGCCCUCCUCCCUCUCGGUUUUUAGACCUGUGCCUGCCAGCCUCCCCCUGGAAGAUGUUCACCCCUCAAGGCUAGGGGGUUCCGCCUUGAUCCCCCGGUGACCCUAACGUGGGAGACGGGGCCCGGUACACAGUGAAUGUCUCACGGAUGUUCUUUAAGGGUGCAGAGAAUGGGGAGAAAUGAAGCUUGUCCAAGAAAGGCUCAGAAGAGGGGGCCUGCUGGGUAUACCCGCAAGUCUGUAUGUCUCCUUGUCGGGGUGUCUCCGUGUCCAUCUGGGUCUCUGUGCAUUUUUGUGUUCCUUAGUGUGUUUCUGGGGUGUCUGUGUGCAAGCAUCUGAACAUGGAUAUGCGCAGCCUCAACUUCUCUGGCUACGUGCAGGGGUGGGGCGGUGGGAGGAGGGUGCUGAGCUUUCCUCCCUGGAGCGGCACUGCCUCCCCCAAGGGCCCUCCCUGCUCCCAGGGGGGCGGGCUAACCGCCUUGGGUGGACGAUGCCCGCCCCCUAGCCCAGGGUUCCCUGCAGCCCAGCAGGGCACCCACGCUGGGAGCUUUACAGAGCCCAACAUAUCCAGCCCUGUCUGUGAAGCAAGUGCAUUUAAAAUUCCCAUUUCAGGGGCACCUGAGUGGCUCAGUUGGUUAAGUGUCUGCCUUUGGCUCAGGUCGUAAUCCCAGGGUCCCGGGAUCAAGCCCCUCAUUGGGCUCCCUGCUUGGCAGAGAGUCUGCUUCUCCCUCUCCCUGCCACUCCUCCUGCUUGUGCUCUCUCUCUCUCUCUCUAAUAAAUAAAUAAAAUCUUUAAAAAAUUAAAUAAAAAUGCCCAUUUCAUAGAUGAGGACACAAGCGCAGAGGGGUGCAGUCAGCUGCCCAAGGCCACACAGCCAGAGAAGAGGCAGCUUUGAACUCAGCUCCUCCUGACCUCUUACCUUUUGUCAGCACCCUGCUUUCUUUCUUCUUUCCCUUUGCUGGAUUGGGAGGCUCAUGGGUGGGGACACAGAGGGUCUGCACCUUCCCUCAGCCUUGGUAGACUCACCUCCCCUUGCUCUGAAUGUCCUUACUCACCUAUCCCCAGGGCUGGCCUGGGCCCCGACACCUACUGUGCAUCUGUCCUUACCUUCCUGCUCAUAGGACGUCCUUCCAGGUUCAUUGAUUCCCGCCUUCCACCCCGACACUCCACAGGCCAUCCAGGAGGCUCUCAUUUCUCCUCAUCCCCACCUGCAUGCCUGUGACUUCUGUACAAUCUAGCAGACAAAACAUCCGGGGCCUAGAGGUACCGUGACCUGCCAUCCAAUGUACCUGGGACAUGGAACAGUCCGGAGCAAGCCAUGGCAGUUGGUCAUCCUAGCAGGAGGUAGGGUCACUUGCCCUUGGUGACACAGCAAGAUCAGGAGCCCCCAUGUCAACACCUGUUGAUCCAAGACACCAUCCCCUCUCCUAGGAGGAAACUGAGUCCUAUUUUUUUUUAAGAUUUUAUUUAUUUAUUCAUGAGAGACACAGAGAGAGGCAGAGACACAGGCAGAGGGAGAAGCAGGCUCCCUGCGGGGAGCCCAAUGCAGGACUUGAUUGCCAUUCAAUAUCCCAAUUUACAGUCAAGUCGAGGGUUUUUAAGAUAGUCACAGGGUUGGGCAGGUUUCACCACCUUGUUUUUUGUUUUGUUUUUAAGUAAGCUCUAUGCCCAACGUGGGGCUUGAACUCAUGGCCCUGAGAUCAAGGGUCGCAUGCUCUAACGAGUGAACCAGCCAGGUGCCCCACCUGGCUUCUUCUUUUUAAGGGAACCAGUCCCCUGAUCUGAGGAACAGUGUAAUGAACACCCUGGUGCAGACCCAGAAGUACAAUAGCCAGUCACAGGGUGUGCAAAGGUAGAGUGUUUUUUUAAGAUUUUAUUUAUUUGACACAGAGCACAAGCGGGGGUAGGAGGAGCAGCAGGCAGAGGGAGAGGGAGAAGCAGGCUCCCCGCUGAGCAGGGAGCCCGAUGUGGGGCUCCAUCCCAGGACCCUGGGAUCAUGAUCUGAGCCAAAGGCAAAUACUUAACUGACUGAGCCACCCACGUGCCCCUAGAAGCUCUUAAAACAAUUUAUUUAAGUAAUCUUGACACCUGAUAUGGGGCUUGAACUUAUGAUCCCGAGAUUAGGAAUUGCACAUUCCCCUAAUUGAGACAGCCAGGUGCCCCAAAGCUCUUUUUAAUAUUAAGGAAUUUACUUCUUAUUCUCUGACAUAAGCUGUAGUUUUCUCCACCCUCCACUCCCACCCAGUUUGUUGUAUUUUUACCUCGUUUAUUAUUGUUUUCUGUCCAUGUGGAUUUGGAUUUCCAAAAAUCCAUUUGGAUUUUUAGGAAGCUGGACUCACCUUUUUCUUUUGUGGCUUUUAUGUUUAAUUAUUUUUCUUAGAAAGACCUUAGCUAUUCUCAAAUUGCUAUUUUUAAAAAGCCCCUAUGUGUUUUUUCCCCUAGUACUUUUAUGAUUUUAUUUCUCACGUGUCAAACUUUGAUCCAGCAGGAAUUUGUAUUGAGAUAAGGUGUGAGGUAGGGACCUGACUUUUGUUCUUUCCGUUGUCCCAACAGUGUUCAUUGCAUCAUCUACCCUUUAGAUAGUGCAGCGCUAGGGCUGUCACGUCUACAAGGAGGGUAGUUGUAAGGUGUGGGGGGAAGCUAGACUUGGCACAACAUGAAAACUGUUUGCUACUUAAUUGAUAAUUUGGGAAAUAAGACCCUGCUUUAAUCCCUGGGGUUGUUUCAGCACUGAGCUGCACCCAUGGAACAUGAUUUUUUUUUCUUUUUUUGGAUCCGUUGUUCUCUGGUUGUGGAAUGUUGUAAACAUUCCCCCCAAAACAAUGUCAGCACAAUGCAAAAUGAUACUGCAAAAGGUCUGUUGCAAAAUGAUACAACCAACCUGGAAACUUGGGGGAUUUCAUGCGAUGGAAGAAAGAGGCUGUGGACAGGGACUAAAAUGUGGGUGAGUUAUGGACAGAGGAGGAACUGAUGGUCAGUCCGAGGAAUAGUUAGUUAAACAUGGAGAAAGAGCCCAUUGGUCGAGGCAGGACAGGCUGCUCCAGGGACAGUGAGUCAACCAUCAGAUGGGUCAGAUGCAGACCCAUGUCUGGUUUCCUGGGGCCACCAUCGCAAAAUACCACAAACUGGGCACCUUGCACAAGUUCUGAAAGUUCUCACCAUUCUGGAAGUUCAGUGUCCAAAAUCAAGGUGUUGACAGGGCCGUUCUCCCUCCGAUGGCUCCAGGGAAGAAUCUUCCCUGCCUCUUCUGGCUUUCAUGGCUGCCAGCAAUCCUUGGCAUUGCUUGGUUUGUAGACACAUUGUUCCAGUUCCUGCACAUAACCAAUCUUCCUUCUCUGUGUGUGUCUGUGUCCAAACUUCUCUUAUGAGGUCAUUGGAUUAGGGGCCCACUGUACUCCAGGAUGAGCUCAUCUUACUUUGAUUGCAUCUGCAAAGAUCCUUAUUUCUAGAUAAAGGUCAUAUUCCCAGGUACUGGGACCUAGGACUUCAACGUAUCUUUCUGGGGGACGCAAUUCAACCCACAAUGUGUGUGUGUGUGUGUGUGUGUGUGUGUGUGCGUGUUUAUUUUCUCCCCCAAUGACUCCAGAAUCUGAUUGAAAUAUUAAAUGUGAAUUAUUAAAUACAGUUUGGUGGUGGUAGUGAGGGGGAUAAAUGACCUUCCAACCCCUCCUAUGAGUUAAUUUAUUUUUCUGUUUCAAGAAUUAGCCUGUAGUUUCAAUGGUAGCUCACAUCUUGUUUACUAUAAAGCAGAAUGAGUUCCUUGUCAUAGUUUGUGCUCUGUUUUCGAAGGACACAGUUCCUUCCAAUCAACCCUUUUGUUUCUUGCUCUGGCCUUUCGCUGCCAAUGUUAAUUCGAGGGGCUUUUCUCUAGGACCAGUGAGCCAAAGCUGAUGAAGAGGCCUCUUGGUAAUUCCAGGUCAAUGUGCUGGGCGUGUGAUGAGGGAGGUUGGGUGAGCACAAGAUGUUCAGGACGUGGGUAGGAGGUCAGGGUGAUCUUCCCAAGGACAGAAUGUCCGUCAGCUGCAGGGGCAGGUGAGCAGGGAUGCAGGGGGCCAGGGAAGAGGUGGGGGGGGUCCCCUGAAACAAAAGUCCAGUGUGACCUAAGGGGGGGCAGCAUGGCAGAAACUGUUCAUUCAAGCCUGGGGGGCCCUGGGCUCACCCUUCAUGAGCCACAAUUGGGUUUUUAUAGGAGAGUGUCAUACUCUGAUCUGCAGUCUGAAAGGUCACAGGGCCUGUGGCGUGGGAGGUGCAGGGAGGGAAUAGGGAGAAGGAAGCUGGUUUUCCAGCCGAGGGUAUCUGGAG